CGGGACGUGGCGCAGCUUGGUAGCGCACCUGUUUUGGGUACAGGGGGUCGCCGGUUCAAAUCCGGCCGUCCCGA
rnacentral:tRNA from 1 species